rnacentral:misc_RNA from 1 species
UCCGGAGGGCAUGCCUGUUUGAGUGUCAUGAAAACAUCACCACCGGGGUUUCCCGGCGUGUGGAAUUGGACGUCUGCCUCCCGGCUCGUCUUAAAGAUAUUAGCGAUGCGACGUGAUAAGUUUCGUCCCCCAUCGCUCAUAGAAAACCAUAACACUCUUGCUCUGACCUCAAAUCAGGUAGGACUACCCGCUGAACUUAA